rnacentral:lncRNA from 10 species
CCUUCCCAGGUAUUGGCAACACCAGAAGUCCAGUUGGUCAGGAGCUGUGGAAUCAACCUCAUGUACCAUGUGAAUCCCUUGGCAAAUGCUAUUGGUUCUACCUUCAAAAUACAUCUGAAACCCACCCCCUCUUAGCGUCUUCAUUGCUACCACCUUGGUACAAACCAUCAAACAAGCUUGGAAUACUGGUCUCUACUUCAGCCUUUGCUCCCUACGAUCAAUUGAGAUGCAACCAGAGCGAUCUGUGAAAACCUGAAUUAGAUUUUGCCUGCCUGAGCUCCUCUAGUAGUGGCCACAAUUGCCAGAGAAGAUAGAGCAGGUCUCUCCCAGGACUUGCAGCUCCAGCCUGUGUCUGCAAGGGGUGUUGUAGCGACUGAUUUCUCCAGCCCAUGGCAAGAGGCCUUCAUCUUGUGCCUGGAAAGAGGGAAGUACAAGUCCGUCUGGCAGAGAUGGUGCAGAUGGGCAAGUUUUUCAGACACUGCAGCCAGCACUUCUGGGACCGCAGCAGUGGAGCCUGCAGAGGGCCGGUUCUCCAGGCAUGGGCUACUGACAUUGUCACUUCCAGACUCCUUAUGCAAUAAACAACCCCUAAACAGA